AGAUUCAGAUCUUGUGAAGGUAGACAGCACCGACAUAAUAAUUCGUGAACAUAGACGACUGGAAAACCAGGUCAGAUCGCGCGAACAACUACAAAGUGAAGAGGGUUACGUCGAGAUAUGUUUGCCGAGUCGAAGCAGGUUUGGAGUGCAAAAAAAUCUGGCAGCGAAAAUACUGCUUCUUGAUGUGUACAAAGAUUUAAUCGUGAAAAGAGAUGCUUUCAAGAAAGGAGAAAACAUCUGGAUGACCAGUAAAGGAACACAGCAAGAAAAUAAAAAAAACGUCUGAGGCUGUUAAGGUUGCAAGUACUAUUCAAAGUUCAACAACUUUUGCAAUGGGGGAACAACUUAAAAGAGACCUCAAGACGC
rnacentral:lncRNA from 8 species